GAUGAACGCUAGCUACAGGCUUAACACAUGCAAGUCGAGGGGAAACGACAUCGAAAGCUUGCUUUUGAUGGGCGUCGACCGGCGCACGGGUGAGUAACGCGUAUCCAACCUGCCCAUCACUUGGGAAUAACCUUGCGAAAGUAAGACUAAUACCCAAUGAUAUCCCACGAAGGCAUCGGAAUGGGAUUAAAGAUUUAUCGGUGAUGGAUGGGGAUGCGUCUGAUUAGCUUGUUGGCGGGGUAACGGCCCACCAAGGCAACGAUCAGUAGGGGUUCUGAGAGGAAGGUCCCCCACAUUGGAACUGAGACACGGUCCAAACUCCUACGGGAGGCAGCAGUGAGGAAUAUUGGUCAAUGGGCGAGAGCCUGAACCAGCCAAGUAGCGUGCAGGAAGACCGCCCUAUGGGUUGUAAACUGCUUUUAUAAGGGAAUAAAGUGGGUCACGUGUGACUUUUUGCAUGUACCUUAUGAAUAAGGACCGGCUAAUUCCGUG
rnacentral:rRNA from 1 species